rnacentral:rRNA from 1 species
CUUUUCUUGAUUAGUGGCGCACGGGUGAGUAAUGCAUAGAUAAUGUGCCCCUUAGUUCGGGAUAGCCACUGGAAACGGUGAUUAAUACCGGAUACUCCUUCUUGUUAUAAGACAAGUCGGGAAAGUUUUUCGCUAAGGGAUCAGUCUAUGUUCCAUCAGCUUGUUGGUGAGGUAAUGGCUCACCAAGGCUAUGACGGAUAUCUGGUUUGAGAGGAUGAUCAGACACACUGGAACUGAGACACGGUCCGGACUCCUACGGGAGGCAGCAGUGAGGAAUAUUGCACAAUGGAGGAAACUCUGAUGCAGCAACGCCGCGUGGAGGAUGACGCAUUUCGGUGUGUAAACUCCUUUUAUUAGGGAAGAUAAUGACGGUACCUAAUGAAUAAGCACCGGCUAACUCCGUGCCAGCAGCCGCGGUAAUACGGAGGGUGCAAGCGUUACUCGGAAUCACUGGGCGUAAAGGGUGCGUAGGCUGGCUUUUAAGUCAGAUGUGAAAUCCAAUGGCUCAACCAUUGAACUGCAUUUGAAACUGAAAGCCUAGAGUUCAGAAGGGGCAGAUGGAAUUAGUGGUGUAGGGGUAAAAUCCGUAGAUAUCACUAGGAAUAUCAAAAGCGAAGGCGAUCUGCUGGGAUGAUAUUGAC